rnacentral:lncRNA from 10 species
GUUCUUAAAUGUUUAUCUUGAUUUUCAUUUUAUCCUUUUUCCUUAGCUGGGAUUCUGUCCCUGACCGUCUUCACAGUCCAGGUGAUCUUGACUACUGCUUUACAGAGAAUUGGAUCUGAGGUGUGGAAACAGGAAGAGAACUAGAACUGGAAGUAAAGCAUUGAAGAUGUGACUGAAUUGCUGCAAUCUCAUGAUCAAAUUUGAAUGGAUGAGGAGUUGCUUUUUAGGGAUGAGCAAAGAAAGUGGUUUCUCGAGAUGGAAUCUACUGGUGAAGUUGCUGUGAACAUUGUUAAAAUGCCAAUAAAGGAUUUAGGAAUUACAGAAACCUGGUUGAUAAAGCAGUGCCAGGGUGUGAGAGAGUUGACUUCAAUUUUGAAAUAAGUUCCACUGGCUGGGUGUGGUGGCUCACACCUGCAAUCCCAGUACUUUAGGAGGCCGAGACUGGUAGAUCAUUUGAGGUCAGGAGUUCAAGACCAGCCUUGCCAACAUGGUGAAACCCCACCUCUACCAAAUUAGCCAGGUGUGGUGCACACCUGUAGUCCCAGCUACUUGGGAAGCUGAGGCAGGAGAAUCUCUUGAACCAGGGAGGAGGAGGUUGCAGUAAGCCGAGAUGGCGCCCCUGCACUCCAGCCUGGGUGACAGAGUGAGACCUUGCGUUUAAAAAAAAAAAAAAAGGAAAAGGAAAAAAAAGUUCUACUGUGGGUAAAAUGCUAUCAUGCUAUCAAACAGCAUCACAUGCUACAGAGAAGUCUUGUGAAAGGAUGUCAGUGUGGCAAACUUCAUUGUCUUUUAAGAAAUUGCCACAGCUAUCGUAAUCUUCAACCACCACCACCCUGAUGAGUCAGUAGCCAUCGUUAACGUUGGCGUAAGACCCUCCACCAGCAAAAAGAUUGUUAGCAUUUUUUUAGCAGUGAUGUAUUUAUCAAUUAUACAUAAUGCUAUUGUACACUUCUUAAUAGACUAUGGUAUAGUGUAACCAUAAUUUAUGCACUGGGAAACCAACAAAUUCAUGAGAUUCGCUUUAUUGUAGUGCUCUGGAAUUGAGCCUGCCGUGUUUCUGAGGUAUACCUGUGUAUUUAGUAUGUUCCUUGUAUAUAAAACCCCAUUUUAUAGGGUAGGAAACUAAGGCUUAGAGUUUGAGCAAUUUUCCCAUAGAUAACACCAAUAAAUUGAGGGCUGCAGAGACCACUUAAGUGGUUCUCUUAACAGUAGUCUAGACAUGACGUAAUGAGAUUUGGCUUAGGAGUGACAAUGGUAAGGAAGUUAAAGGAUUCAGGAACCAAAUACCAGUUAUUGAGAAGAAAGAAUGGCCUCAAAACAUCACUUCUCAAGGAAGCCUUGAUACCCUCACCCUUACUACACUGUAUCCUCCAUUUGAAUGUUGUCAAGAGCUCUUCUCACAAUUGUAAAUAAUAAUUGUGUAAUUUUGUUUUUUUUUUCCUACUUUAGGUUGCUCCUUGAGGGCAGGACAGUUCUUAUGGCUUUAUCCGUUGCGUAAGCACAGAGAGGUCUGCGAGGUCAAAACUAUUGUCAUGAUAGCAAGAUGCCUGUCUUUUUCAUUUAUUCUCACGGUGUGCAGAGGCUACAUGAUGUGUGAUGACAUCCUCAUUGAUGUUAAUGAAUGGUGCUAUACUUGAAUUUUCUAAGGUGUCAUUAGGUAGGUUUAGGUAUG